AUUGAACGCUGGCGGCAGGCCUAACACAUGCAAGUCGAACGAGUGGCGGACGGGUGAGUAAUGUCUGGGAAACUGCCUGAUGGAGGGGGAUAACUACUGGAAACGGUAGCUAAUACCGCAUACCAUCGGAUGUGCCCAGAUGGGAUUAGCUAGUAGGUGGGGUAAAGGCUCACCUAGGCGACGCUCCCUAGCUGGUCUGAGAGGAUGACCAGCCACCCUGGUACUGAGACACGGUCCAGACUCCGACGGGAGUCAGCAGUGGGGAAUAUUGCACAAUGGGCGCAAGCCUGAUGCAGCCAUGCCGCGUGUAUUAAGAAGGCCUUCGGGUUGUAAAGUACUUUCAGCGGGGAGGCGUUACCCGCAGAAGAAGCACCGGCUAACUCCGUGCCAGCAGCCGCGGUAAUUC
rnacentral:rRNA from 1 species